ensembl:snoRNA
GUGGUGUGCUCAGAGCAGGGGGCCUAAAGAAAUGGCUCCUCUGUUUAUUACACACCAAACAGGAAUCUGGGUUUCCUGAUGAGGGUCACAAAACUUGUGACUUUCCUAUGAACAAUACCCUACAGAU